ACAAAUAAAACAAGUAUGGCAUACGAAUACGAAUCUCUUAUGAAUAAAGAGAGAAAAAAGAGAAAAAAUAUUGUUUUGCUACUAGUUUUUCAUUUAUGCCCUUAUUUGUUCUUAAUUCAAUGCUACUACUUUUAAGGAGAUUCUUGUACAAAGUACUUUGUAUAAAAUCAUUUUCCUCUUGUCAUCCAAAUCGAAAAACUUAUCGCCCUCCAUUCAAUUCACAUUAUCUACCACCAACCAACCAAGCAGCCACCACCAGAUCUGUAACCUCUAAUUCAUACCCAAUCAAAAUUCCAACAACAUUGACAACUGACUCAUCCAACAAUUCAAUAUAUUUGCAUUAGACAUAAUGUUGUGAUGAAACUAAAGCAUCACAAUCCUAUAAUGUUUGUUUCAGGAAACAUAAAACCAAACAAGUCCUUAUGAUAACUCUAUAUCUCUCAAAGACCCCAAAGCAUAGUUGAAACAUGCUAAGACGAGGUAUUAUUCGUCAAGUUCAGAGCCAAUGUUCAUCUCCAUCACUCUAAUGUUGGAAGACACAAUGUAAGGGAGGGUGGGAGAAAUCAAUUGUUGCACCUAAAAGAAGAGAGGCUCUUUAAACGAAUAUGGCCGACAGUAGAAUGACACUCUUUAGUAGACAAGUUCAUAGAUUCAAAAUUAAAAAGUGAUUGCCGAAACAAAAACACUUCUGAAUCAGUCAAUCCUAAUACAAUUCAAGAACUUUUGAGAACAUUUAAAUAGAGAUAAGAAACCACGAAAAAAAAAAUCUAUGUUAUGAUUUCACAUGUUAAUUCGGGUUUGACUCAAACUACAAUAAAAUUCUAACGGAACACGUGAAUGCCCCUACUUUUAAGGGUUCAUAACUAGGUUAGGAAUCAGUUCUUUUUAUUUAUUUUUAUUUUAUGGUGUUUGAAUUCUUUAUUACAGUAUCCCAAUCCAAUAUUGUAUUAUUAUUGCCUAACAAUAGAAGUAAACUUUAUAACUAUCCUAGCUCCCUUACUUAAUUUAAAAAAGGCAUGAAACGGGGAUGAAGUCAUGUAAAGGGGUCAAAUAAUGUCAAUCCUUUUGAAUAACUCCUACUUAUUUGUCCUAGAAAAACCAAUCAUCCAUGCACAAAUUUAUCAGGUAAGUUCAUUAUUGAGAGUAUGCAUAACUGAAUGUAAAUAGUGGCAUAAAAUUUAAAAUGGAAGAAAAUUAUAGGUACUCCCCAUAAAUACAACUCAGUUGGUAACUACGAGAAGAUUGAUAUGUAGGGGUUCGGAUUCGGGUUCCAACCUGAGAUUCUCUAUCUCUCUACACUUAACGUGUAUGAGUUUAGCCGUUAGGCUACUUGACAACAACAAAAAA